GGAAUUUGGGCACGAUGUAAUCGUCACCAUAAACACUAUGAGUUAGUGUAUUUGUUGGUCAAAAUUAGAGUUAUGUUGAAUGAGAAAUGGAGGUCCAAAGUGAGUGACAUGCAAAACUUAUAAAGUUUUAAAUUUGGCUAAAUAUAAAAGAUUUAGCAAAUUGGAUCACUUUGGAUAUAUGGGUUAGAAUUUGAAUUUGAAUUUGUUAAUUGGACAUUAUGUCAAUCAACUUAUUUAGUUAUUCUUAUUCAUGAUAAUUUAUAUAUCUAUAUAUAAAAAUUAUAAACCCAAGCAAAGUAUAGUAAAGGUUGUUGAAUUGGUCAAAACCAAGACAUUACUUUGCAAAGCUAACUUACGAGAAUCUUGGAAAUCAAUGUCAUUACUACAAUUGAUUCGUACGUUGGCUAACUCCUUAAAUUGCAUAACGUGCACUUUCUCUUGAUUAUAAAAGGAGAGCACUUGUGUAGAAAGCAACAUACCCGAGACAAAACAAUUCCUCAUAUUAUUAUUUUUCUUCUUUCUCUUUGAUAUUUUCUUUGAGUCUGAGAGUAUACACAAAACUAGUUUCGCCAGGCUUCUGAUAGAGUGACGCAAAUCAGAAGAUUUUUUUUUUGCAGUUGUAUUUUGGGACUCAUUACGUUAUCUAACCGUCGCACUACGAGACGUAUUUUGAGUUAAGGAAAGAGAUAAUAUCUCGCCUCUGCAGUUGUAUCAUCCUUUUCUUAAUCUUUGGUAUACUUUUAUCAAUUUUAUUCUUUACAAUAUUCAGCUCUCCGUAGUUUAUGUAAUACGGUCUUAUCAGUCUUAACUCAAAAUAUCCGUUUAUUGUUUUGCACUAACCGGACUGAUUAUUGUAUAAGUUUUUUGUUUAAGAACAGGUUGAUUGAUAUUUUCUAAAAAAGUGUUGGAAUCGGAAUUGGGCUCCGAUUGCUCUUGGUGUCAGCGUUAAAGUCAUAUUCUUGCUCUAACGUUUUUUUUAUUUUACAGGAUCUAUUGGAUUAUUUUUAUAUAUUUCUGCAAUUUACGCUUCUGUAUUGAUAUUUCUAAACGGGAUUUCAUUCAGAUUUGGUUAAAAGUCUUUAAAAAAAUAUAAAUCGUUGUUUUCAACCUCGUCGCUUUCUUUUGUUUAACGUCAAGAGUAAAAGGAUAAACAAAAAAAAAUAUAUUGCCGUCUUUUAUUUGUCAAAGGUUGAUUUCUGUAGUGGUUCAAUUAUUUGGUUUACGUUCCUGGUUUAAUUUAAUUUCCAACCAGCAAUCAAUCGUUUCUUUGGUUAUUAAUAUUUUCAUUUCAUUUGGUUACUUGUGGUAACGUAAGAUUGAUUUUUUUAUCAUUUGACCAGCUGAUACUUUCUGUCCUGACGUUUGCUUUAGAAAUUAAUCCGGUAUAAUUCUUUGACAUUGCGUUUCAUAGAGUCGCACCGUUAAAGAUUCAGAUUUUAUAUUUUCUGAUUUUUGUUUGUUAGAUCAUUAUUUGUGUUGGGUAUCUGAAAUAUACUAAUCUUUUGUUGGAUUUUGUGAGCAGAUUCAAAAUUCAAGUAUGUCUUAUAACACAAAUUUAUCGAUCUUUGAUAGAUCAAAUGGUGUGAUCGGCAAUGGAUUGAACGAGUCGACGCCUCAAAUUAAGUUUGAGAGUGGUCUGCCAUUUAUGAUUCCAUUUGCUAUGAAAACUGAGAUGUCUGCUGAAAUUAAUCAGAGUAUACAGAUUGAAAAUGACAUGUGUGCUAUGGUCACAGAAGUCAAUACGUUUGAAAAUAAUUCAAAAGACUGGUGGUAUGACACAGGUGCCACCACUCACAUAUGCAUUGAUAAGAACAUGUUUUGUACUUAUCAAAAAUGCAAUGAUGAGGAGCGGUUGUUAAUGAAUAACACCGACUCGUCUAUUAUUGAAGGUUGUGGCGAAGUGAAACUUGCGCUAACUUUUGGACAAGAGAUAAUUCUCAAAAAUGUGAAAUAUGUCCCAGAUAUGCGAAAGAAUCUUAUUUCCGGUUCGCUAUUAAGCAAAGCUGGAUUUGUAGUAACUUUCGAGUCUGAUAAACUUGUCCUAAAGAAAAAUGAUAUUUUCUUGGGCAAAGGAUUUGUUGAGGAUGGACUGGUCAAAAUGUGUAUUAAGACAGUCUUAUUCGCAGAUGAACCAAAUGCUUAUUUGGUUGAACCGUUCAAAGUUUGGCAUGAAAGAUUGGGGCAUGUAAAUUAUAAAUCUGUUCAAAGAUUGAUUAAUUUAAACCUAAUUCCGAAAUGCAAAUUGAGCAAAGAGAAAUGUGAAGUAUGCGUACAAGCAAAACUCACAAAAACUCCAUUCCCUCAUGUUGAGAGAACAACUGAGCCUCUUGGUUUAAUUCAUACAGAUUUGUGUGAUUUAAAAUUUGUUCAAACUCGAAAUGGAAAAAAAUAUUUUGUGAUUUUCAUAGAUGAUUGUACAAAAUAUUGUUAUGUCUAUUUGCUAAGAAGCAAAGAUGAAGCCUUGGAAAAAUACAAGGAAUAUAAACUCGAGGUUGAAAACCAACUCGGUAGAACUAUAAAGAUAGUUCGAAGUGAUAGAGGAGGUGAAUAUGAUGGACCAUUUGAUGUGUUCUGUAAAGAGCAUGGCAUUAUUCAUCAAACCACCGCUCCCUAUUCACCUCAAUCUAACGGAGUUGCGGAGCGUAAAAACCGAACUCUUAAAGAGAUGAUGAAUGCAAUGUUGCAGGAAUCUGGGUUAGCCCAGAACAUGUGGGGGGAAGCUUUGCUUUCUACAAAUUAUAUCCUCAACAAAAUACCAAACAAAGUCACUGGUAAAACACCAUAUGAACUUUGGAAAGGUGUUGUACCUUCGUACAAAUACUUGAAAGUGUGGGGGUGCCUUGCAAAAGUAGCAGUACCACCUCCCAAGAAGGUUUCAAUCGGACCUAAAACCGUGGAUUGUAUUUUCAUCGGAUAUGCCCAUAAUAGUGGUGCUUAUCGAUUUUUGGUAGAUAAAUCAGAUGUACCAGAUAUUCAUGUUAAUACAAUUAUGGAAUCAAGGAAUGCAUCUUUCUUUGAACACGUGUUUCCGUGUAAGAAUAGAGAUAAUCCUAAAAGAACUCAUGAAGUAAGAGAUGCAAACAUCUUUACAAAUGAGGCAAGUACUUCUGGCACAUCUUUUGAUGAUGCAGAAAUAUUUGCAGAUGAACCUAGACGCAGCAAAAGAGCUCGUAAGGAAAAAUCUUAUGGUGAAGAUUUCUUUAUGGUCUUUCUUCUUGAGAAUGAACCAAGAAGUUUCGCUGAAGCUAUGUCUUCACCAGACGCUGAUUUAUGGAAGGAAGCUUUCAAUAGUGAAAUCGACUCCAUUAUGCAAAAUCAUACAUAUUAUUUGACCGAUUUGCCCCAAGGGUUUAAGGCCCUAGGGUGUAGAUGGAUUUGCAAAAGAAAGUUGAAUAUUGAUGGCUCAACUGAUAAGUACAAGUGUAGACUUGUGGUGCAAGGUUUCCGGCAAAAAGAAGGCUUGGAUUUCUUUGACACCUAUUCUCCGGUAACGAGAAUAACUUCAAUCAGAAUGCUGAUUGCAAUUGCAGCAUUGAGAAACCUAGAAAUCCAUCAGAUGGAUGUCAAAACUGCUUUUCUAAAUGGUGAUUUAGAGGAGGAGAUUUAUAUGCAACAACCUGAAGGGUUGGUUGUCCCAGGACAAGAACACAAAGUCUGUCGACUAGUAAAAUCAUUGUAUGGACUUAAGCAAACUCCAAAACAAUGGCAUGAAAAAUUUGACAAUGUUAUGAUGUCAAAUGGUUUCAGCAUUAAUGAAUGUGACAAGUGUAUAUACUUUAAAAAUACACCACAUGGAUAUGUAUUGCUUGGCUUGUAUGUAGAUGACAUGCUCAUUAUUGGUAGCAAUAAAGACAUGGUCAGUCAAACAAAGAACAUGCUAAGUAGCAAGUUCGAAAUGAAAGAUAUGGGACUAGCUGAUGUUAUCCUAGGGAUUAAGAUCUUUCGUAAUUCCGAAGGAAUCAUCUUGUCUCAAACUCAUUAUGCUGAAAAGAUACUUGAGAGGUUUAAAUCCUACUCAAAAGGAAAGGCAAAAACUCCUGUAGACCCUAGGUUUCACUUGACAAAACAUUCGGGUGAAGCAGUGUUACAGUAAGAGUAUGCUCGUGUCAUCGGAAGUUUGAUGUACUUGACAAAUUGUACUAGACCUGAUUUAGCACAUGCAGUCAAUGUACUGAGUCGCUACACGAGUAAUCCAGGGCAAAACCACUGGAAUGCUAUAACAAGAGUAUCAGACUAUGUACGUCAUACUAAAACUUAUGGGCUGACCUAUGGUAAAGAACCAUCAGUUUUGGAAGGAUACAGUGAUGCCAACUGGAUUUCCGACUCCAAAAACUCUAAAUCCACGAGUGGAUAUGUUUUUACACUUGGUGGUGCCGCAGUUUCUUGGAAGUCUUCCAAACAAACUGUCUUGGCCAGAUCGACCAUGGAAUCUGAGUUCAUAGCUUUAGAUAAAGCUGCAGAAGAAGCAGAGUGGCUUCGAAAUUUUUUGGAAGAUAUUCCUAUGUGGGAUAAACCAGUGUCGGCAUUACGUAUACAUUGUGAUAGCCAAGCGGCAAUAGGCCGGGCACUGAGCAGUUUGUAUAAUGGUAAAUCUCGUCAUAUAAGAAGACGUCAUAAAACCAUUAGACACUUGAUCUCAACUGGUGUAAUAACGAUUGAUUACAUCAGAACAAAUGAAAACCUUGCGGAUCCAUUUACUAAAGGUUUGUCACGAGAUCAAGUAGAAAAAUCAUCAAGAGGAAUGGGUUUAAAGCCUGUGAAUUAAGAUGAGGUUUGGCGGUAACUCUACCUAAUUGACUGGAGAUCCCAAGAAAUAGGUUCAAGGAGACAACUAAGUCAAACUAAAUCUGCCCAAAGCACUGUCAGACUUCGGUCUAUACCCAGUUCUUAGGAUGAUUAAACAGUGCUACAUGUAACGAAUAUAGGAUAAGCAUUAGCUUUUAAUGAUUUGUGUCCAUUGUUUUGAGAUAUGAAUGGAGUAGUACAUGAUACUCCUCUAAACAAAACUAAUGGCAAAUCACCUUGUGAGUGUGAAAUGGGGCCGUUUCUAGGAGAAUGAAGGAAAGGCUAUAUUCUCCAAGUUCACUCAUGAUUACCAAGAAUGUUCACGGCCAAAAUGAACACAAUAGAGAAAUUAGUUUUUGUGAGAGAAUGAAGCUGUGUUAUAGCUAUUGUCUCGGUUUACACCAAAGUCCGGGGGGUUCAAGACAUCAUGGCCACCUCCUGUUCGAGUAAAUCCGAUAGCUAUUAACAAUGACUGGUUCAAGGCUGAAAAAUUGCUACCAACUCAUCAUGCAGUGGAUUUUUCGCUCAUACUCUCAAAAGUUUUCUUUUUCUUGAGUCAUGUGUAUAGAGUCAUUUCUAUUCAUGUGGGGGAUUGUUGGAACUCGUUUUUGACAAAGUGGUGCUUACCAUUUUUCCGAUGGGUUUUUCGACGGUGACGUCUGUCGGAAGAACCGGAAUUUGGGCACGAUGUAAUCGUCACCAUAAACACUAUGAGUUAGUGUAUUUGUUGGUCAAAAUUAGAGUUAUGUUGAAUGAGAAAUGGAGGUCCAAAGUGAGUGACAUGCAAAACUUAUAAAGUUUUAAAUUUGGCUAAAUAUAAAAGAUUUAGCAAAUUGGAUCACUUUGGAUAUAUGGGUUAGAAUUUGAAUUUGAAUUUGUUAAUUG
rnacentral:lncRNA from 1 species